rnacentral:rRNA from 1 species
AAAGGUAGCAUAAUCAUUUGACUUUUAAAUGGAGCCUAGAAUGAAAGAGAGAACGUAGAUAAAUUGUCUCAUUAAACAUUAUAUUAAAAUUAAUCAAUGAGUGAAAAUACUCAUAAAAUUAAAAAUAGACGAGAAGACCCUUAGAAUUUUAAAAAUGCUAUAAGUAAGCUCUUAUAGGAUUUUUUGUUGGGGCAACAAUAUUUCAUAAAAUAAGUAUAUUACUAGAUAAAUAUGUCGAUUAAAUAAUUAAACUAAAAUUACCUAAGGGAUAACAGCAUAAUUUUAUAAUAAGUUUGUGACCUCGAUGUUGGACUAGGUAUUAUUAAGGCUAAUCGUUUUAAUAUAAUAUGUUCUGUUCGAACUUUAUCACCUACAUGAUC